rnacentral:lncRNA from 1 species
GACUGUCAGACGCAUGCGCAAUAAUAAUUUCUCCGUUCCAACAAGAUUUUCUCUGAUUACUAGUCAACAAAGUACACUGUUCCAUGAAAUAUUUAAUCAGUUUGAGAUUAGUUUCUGAUAGUUUGAAAAGUUUCCGAACUUUUUGCAAACUGGUAAUCUCGGACAUGCGCAAUUAGUCUAAUUUUGAUUCACUCACAUGUGCUCACACUUCACACUAAAUAACUAUUUAUAUCAAAUAGGUACCUUUACCUUUGUUUUGGUUAUUUUGUUGAUUUAAGUACAUAUUGUAUUUUAGUGUUUUAUACUUUUGUUAUAAUUUAUGAAACAAUGAGUGACAGAAAAUACUAUGGACUGUCCAUAGUAUUUGUUAAAGAGUUAAAGGUGUGCUCGUUGCUCGUGUUGUGGUGUAAAGUAGUAAGGUUAAAGUUUUCGUUUCCCUCGUUUUCCAGAAUGCUUUCUUCUUCUUUCUUUUCUUUUCUCUGGGCACUGCUCUUAGGCAACUUGCCAG